rnacentral:rRNA from 1 species
CCUACGGGUGACAGCAGUGAGGAAUAUUGGUCAAUGGACGAGAGUCUGAACCAGCCAAGUAGCGUGAAGGAUGACUGCCCUAUGGGUUGUAAACUUCUUUUAUAUGGGAAUAAAACGUUCCACGUGUGGGAUUUUGUAUGUACCAUAUGAAUAAGGAUCGGCUAACUCCGUGCCAGCAGCCGCGGUAAUACGGAGGAUCCGAGCGUUAUCCGGAUUUAUUGGGUUUAAAGGGAGCGUAGGUGGAUUGUUAAGUCAGUUGUGAAAGUUUGCGGCUCAACCGUAAAAUUGCAGUUGAAACUGGCAGUCUUGAGUACAGUAGAGGUGGGCGGAAUUCGUGGUGUAGCGGUGAAAUGCUUAGAUAUCACGAAGAACUCCGAUUGCGAAGGCAGUUCACUGGACUGCAACUGACACUGAGGCUCGAAAGUGUGGGUAUCAAACAGGAUUAUAUACCCCUGUAGUC